rnacentral:rRNA from 1 species
CCUACGGGGGGCUGCAGUAGGGAAUAUUGGACAAUGGGCGAAAGCCUGAUCCAGCCAUGCCGCGUGAUAGAUGAAGGCCCUCUGGGUUGUAAAUAUCUUUUAUCUUGGAAGAAACAAUCUUAUUCUUAAGAUCUUGACUGUACCAGAGGAAUAAGCACCGGCUAACUCCGUGCCAGCAGCCGAGGUAAUACGGAGGGUGCAAGCGUUAUCCGGAUUAAAUGGGUCGUAGGGGGGCUGAUAAGGGAGGAUAGAAAGCUCCUAGCUUAACUUGGAAACUGCCAUUGAUACUGCCAGUCUUGAAUGUCGUAGAGGUAAGCGGAAUGUUGCAUGUAGCGGUGAAAUGCUUAGAUAUGUUACAGAACACCAAUUGCGAAGGCAGCUUACUAUGCGAUGAUUGACGCUGAGGCACGAAAGCGUGGGGAGCAAACAGGAUUAGAUACCCCGGUAGUC